UGUGAUGAUGAAUACAAAUGCCGAUGAGUCUGAUGUAAUCCAUUCUAUUACACCAUGUGGUAAAUUGAGGAAUUUGGCUGCAUAA